rnacentral:rRNA from 1 species
GCGCGUAAAUUGCCCGAAUCCUGACACAGGGAGGUAGUGACAAGAGAUAACAAUACAGGGCUCUCUGAGUCUUGUAAUUGGAAUGAGUACAAUUUACAUCUCUUCACGAGGAUCAAUUGGAGGGCAAGUCUGGUGCCAGCAGCCGCGGUAAUUCCAGCUCCAAUAGCGUAUAUUAAAGUUGUUGCAGUUAAAACGCUCGUAGUCGGAUUUCGGGGCGGGGCCGCCGGUCUGCCGAUAGGUAUGCACUGGCGGGCGCGUCCUUUUUCCCGGAGACGGCCGCUACUCUUAACUGAGCGGUGGUCGGAGACGGGAUGUUUACUUUGAAAAAAUCAGAGUGUUUCAAGCAGGCAGUCGCUCUUGCAUGGAUUAGCAUGGGAUAAUGAAAUAGGACUCUGGUGCUAUUUUGUUGGUUUCGAGCACCGGAGUAAUGAUUAACAGGGACAGUCAGGGGCACUCGUAUUCC